rnacentral:rRNA from 1 species
GUUGUAUAGUCAAGUAAUUAAGUGCAUGUGGUGGAUGCCUUGGCAGUCAGAGGCGAUGAAAGACGUGAUAGCCUGCGAAAAGCUCCGGGGAGGCGGCAAAUAUCCUUUGAUCCGGAGAUGUCUGAAUGGGGGAACCCACCUACUUUAAGGUAGGUAUUGCAACAUGAAUACAUAGUGUUGCAAGGCGAACGAGGGGAAGUGAAACAUCUCAGUACCCUUAGGAAAAGAAAUCAAUUGAGAUUCCCUCAGUAGCGGCGAGCGAACGGGGAUCAGCCCAUUAAGUUAUGUGUGUUUUAGUGGAACGCUCUGGGAAGUGCGAACGUAGAGGGUGAUAUUCCCGUACACGAAAGGGCACACAUAAUGAUGACGAGUAGGGCGAGGCACGUGAAACCUUGUCUGAAUAUUGGGGGGACCAUCCUCCAAGGCUAAAUACUCCUGACUGACCGAUAGUGAACCAGUACCGUGAGGGAAAGGCGAAAAGAACCCCUGUGAGGGGAGUGAAAUAGAUCCUGAAACCGCAUGCAUACAAGCAGUUGGGAGCACCUUCGUGGUGUGACUGCGUACCUUUUGUAUAAUGGGUCAGCGACUUAUAUUCAGUAGCGAGGUUAACCGUAUAGGGGAGCCGUAGAGAAAUCGAGUCUUAAUAGGGCGUUUAGUUGCUGGGUAUAGACCCGAAACCAGGCGAUCUAUCCAUGAGCAGGUUGAAGGUUGGGUAACACUAACUGGAGGACCGAACCCACUGUCGUUGAAAAGCCAGGGGAUGACUUGUGGAUAGGGGUGAAAGGCUAAUCAAGCCUGGUGAUAGCUGGUUCUCCCCGAAAGCUAUUUAGGUAGCGCCUCGGACGAAUACCAUAGGGGGUAGAGCACUGUUUCGGCUAGGGGGUCAUCCCGACUUACCAAACCGAUGCAAACUCCGAAUACCUAUGAGUACUAUCCGGGAGACAGACUGCGGGUGCUAACGUCCGUAGUCAAGAGGAAAACAAUCCAGACCGCCAGCUAAGGCCCCAAAAUCAUAGUUAAGUGGGAAACGAUGUGGGAAGGCAUAGACAGCUAGGAGGUUGGCUUAGAAGCAGCCACCCUUUAAAGAAAGCGUAAUAGCUCACUAGUCGAGUCGGCCUGCGCGGAAGAUGUAACGGGGCUAAAACUAUGUGCCGAAGCUGCGGAUGUAUACUUUGUAUACGUGGUAGGGGAGCGUUCUGUAAGCCGAUGAAGGUGUGUUGAGAAGCAUGCUGGAGGUAUCAGAAGUGCGAAUGCUGACGUGAGUAACGACAAAACGGGUGAAAAACCCGUUCGCCGAAAGACCAAGGGUUCCAGUCCAACGUUAAUCGGGGCUGGGUGAGUCGACCCCUAAGGCGAGGCCGAAAGGCGUAGUCGAUGGGAAAAUGGUUAAUAUUCCAUUACUUCUGUGUAAUGCGAUGAGAGGACGGAGAAGGCUAAAUCAGCCUGGCGUUGGUUGUCCAGGUGAAAGGAUGUAGGCAUGUAUCUUAGGCAAAUCCGGGGUACUCUAUGCUGAGAUCUGAUAGCAAGCUGUACUUGUACAGCGAAGUGGUUGAUGCCAUGCUUCCAGGAAAAGUCUCUAAGCUUCAGUUACACAGGAAUCGUACCCGAAACCGACACAGGUGGUCAGGUCGAGUAGACCAAGGCGCUUGAGAGAACUCUGCUGAAGGAACUAGGCAAAAUGGUACCGUAACUUCGGGAGAAGGUACGCUGUUGUUGGUGAUGGAACUCGCUUCCUGAGCUGACGACAGCCGCAGAAACCAGGCCGCUGCAACUGUUUAUUAAAAACAUAGCACUCUGCAAACACGAAAGUGGACGUAUAGGGUGUGAUGCCUGCCCGGUGCUGGAAGGUUAAUUGAUGGGGUUAGCGUAAGCGAAGCUCUUGAUCGAAGCCCCAGUAAACGGCGGCCGUAACUAUAACGGUCCUAAGGUAGCGAAAUUCCUUGUCGGGUAAGUUCCGACCUGCACGAAUGGCAUAAUGAUGGCGGCGCUGUCUCCAGCAGAGGCUCAGUGAAAUCGAAAUCGCUGUGAAGAUGCAGUGUACCCGCGGCUAGACGGAAAGACCCCGUGAACCUUUACUGCAGCUUGACACUGAACUUUGACCUUACUUGUGUAGGAUAGGUGGGAGGCUUUGAAGCUGGAACGCUAGUUCCAGUGGAGCCGUCCUUGAAAUACCACCCUGGUAAUGUUGAGGUUCUAACUCUGUCCCGUGAUCCGGGACGAGGACCGUGUCUGGUGGGUAGUUUGACUGGGGCGGUCUCCUCCUAAAGAGUAACGGAGGAGUACGAAGGUGCGCUCAGCGUGGUCGGAAAUCACGCGUAGAGUAUAAAGGCAAAAGCGCGCUUAACUGCGAGACCCACAAGUCGAGCAGGUACGAAAGUAGGUCUUAGUGAUCCGGUGGUUCUGUAUGGAAGGGCCAUCGCUCAACGGAUAAAAGGUACUCUGGGGAUAACAGGCUGAUACCGCCCAAGAGUUCAUAUCGACGGCGGUGUUUGGCACCUCGAUGUCGGCUCAUCUCAUCCUGGGGCUGAAGCAGGUCCCAAGGGUAUGGCUGUUCGCCAUUUAAAGAGGUACGCGAGCUGGGUUUAGAACGUCGUGAGACAGUUCGGUCCCUAUCUACCGUGGGCGCUGGAAAUUUGAGAGGAUCUGCUCCUAGUACGAGAGGACCAGAGUGGACGAACCUCUGGUGUACCGGUUGUGACGCCAGUCGCAUCGCCGGGUAGCUAUGUUCGGAAGGGAUAACCGCUGAAAGCAUCUAAGCGGGAAGCCUACCUCAAGAUAAGAUUUCCCUAGGACUUUAUGUCCUCUAAAGAGCCGUUCGAGACUAGGACGUUGAUAGGUUGGAUGUGGAAGCAUAGUGAUAUGUGAAGCUGACCAAUACUAAUUGCUCGUGAGGCUUGACUAUACAACACCCAAGCAGUUG